GCUCCUUGGGUGGCGAGUGGCGGACGGGUGAGGAAUACAUCGGAAUCUACUCUGUCGUGGGGGAUAACGUAGGGAAACUUACGCUAAUAACGCAUACGACCUACGGGUGAAAGCAGGGGAUCUUCUGACCUUGUGCGAUUGAAUGAGCCGAUGUCGGAUUAUCUAGUUGGCGGGGUAAAGGCCCACCACGGCGACGAUCCGUAUCUGGUCUGAGAGGAUGAUCAGCCACACUGGAACUGGACACGGUCCAAACUCCUACGGGAGGCAGCAAUGGGGAAUAUUGGACAAUGGGCGCAAGCCUGAUCCAGCCAUACCGCGUGGGUGAAGAAGGCCUUCCGGUUGUAAAGCCCUUUUGUUGGGAAAGAAAUCCAGCUGGAUAAUACCCGGUUGGGAUGACGGUACCCAAAGAAUAAACUCCCUCUAACUUCGUGCCAGCAGCCGCGAUAAUACAAAGGGUGCUAACGUUACUCAGAAUUACUGGGCGUAAAGCGUGCGUAUGUGGUCGUUUAAGUCCGUUGUGAAAGCCCUGGGCUCAAACUGG
rnacentral:rRNA from 2 species